rnacentral:tRNA from 1 species
GGCGGAGUGACCGAGUGGCUAGGUAAGGGCCUGCAAAGCCCUGCACACGGGUUCGAAUCCCGUCUCCGCCU